UCUGGAUUGACUCCCUUGUGGAUUGGAAGAGGCAGAGGAUGUUGACACAAACUUACAGACUGGGACUCCAAGGAUCAGCCAGAUGAAAUGCUAUGUGCAGAGUCUUCAUUUCCCAGCUCAGUGGUGGACAGCAGAGGACUCUAAGAAUCACCUCAUAAAUGAACUACCUUGACAUGCCCUGACCCAGGCUCUUUAUUUGGAAACCCAGGCUAGGACAGGAAUGAAGAGAAGCCAGA
rnacentral:lncRNA from 10 species